UACGUAGGGUGCAGGCGUUAAUCGGAAUUACUGGGCGUAAAGCGUGCGCAGGCGGUUUCUUAAGUCAGAUGUGAAAGCCCCGGGCUUAACCUGGGAACUGCGUUUGAAACUGGGAGACUUGAGUGUGGCAGAGGGGGGUGGAAUUCCACGUGUAGCAGUGAAAUGCGUAGAUAUCGGGAGGAACACCUAUGGCGAAAGCAGGUUUCUGGACCAUCACUGACGCUGAUCUGCGAAAGCUAGGGGAGCAAACAGG
rnacentral:rRNA from 1 species